rnacentral:rRNA from 1 species
GCUUACUUCCAUAUCAGCCUGGGUACGCCCGAUCUCGUCUGAUCUCGGAAGCUAAGCAGGGUCGGGCCUGGUUAGUACUUGGAUGGGAGACCGCCUGGGAAUACCAGGUGCUGUAAGCA